AUGCCAUUGGUUCUUCAAACUUUACAUUUAAUGAGAAAGGAUACGUGUAUGUUUUGCGUUACCUCCAAGCUAUAAAAUCCUAACUAUAAAUAAGGUCCUCUUGAUUCAAAAAUAUUUGCCUAUACCCCUCUCAUGUCUCUCACGAAACCCCCCCUCUCUAAAAGUUCUAUACUUUAUUUAUAAUAAUAAUAAUAAUAAGGUCCUGCCCCGUUUUAAGUAUUGUAGCCCCUGAUCGCUGAUGCCAUGUCCGAUUGACGUAGGGCCCCGUAACGUAUGUCAAGGCUCUACCUAAAUUCGUUGGGGUUCUGUCUCGUGACGUAGGGAUAAAGUAGAAUUGGGUUACUAUACUUAAUAUGAGUGCACUAUAUAUUUUAUUAAAUAACCCAGGAGUUAUACCCAAAAUAUAACAACCCUCCUAAAACACCCCUGACACCCUACACUUCCUAAAACACACCCCAUACAUGAAAACGGGCCCCCAAAUACAUUAAAUAUUAUUAAAUUUAAUUAAAAAUAUUGUUUUUGGUUUUUAGGCGGGCCGCGUAAAGGAACCUUAACCCUUACGCGGGCCGCGACAACUUAAAAACCUGGCAAAGCCCGGUGCGGCCACGUGGCCCAACACCCGACAAACCUACUCGAUGAACCAGCCCAGCUACGCGUUGACUAGAGUUGACGCAGGCCACGUAAGACCUUGCCUUGUUUUACGCGGGCCGCGAGAAAACCCAGGUGAAGCACUAUAAGCAGGCCAUCGGAUCUUCAUUCGAAUUCGUUCAAAAUCGUUCUCUUUCUCUCAAUUCUAAAGUGUAGGCAUUAUACGCGAGUAUAAUACCCCCUAAUUAGCGAAGCUCUGCCUCGUUGUAACUUAGUGUGAAGCCAAUAAAAACCAGCUGGAGAGCACUAAAGGCUUGGAAAAGUGGCAAUAAAGUUACCUAAAAUAAAAUAGAUGUUUUUAUUAAAUAAAAUAGGAUUUAUUCCUAUGAAAAUGUGUGUACUGCAAACUUGGGUUUUACCCAUGUGUUUAAUGUUAUGGAAAUGUGGUAUUUUACU
rnacentral:lncRNA from 1 species